rnacentral:rRNA from 1 species
CGCGGCGAAAAAUUAAGUUGUUGCAGUUAAAAGCUCGUAGUUGAAGUUCUGGCUGUUCGAUCCUCGAGCUCUGUAGCCGAGGACUCGACAGUCAUCCGCUUGCAAAUGUAGUUCGUCUUUAACCGGAUGGCUAUAUGAGUAAGCAAUUUACCUUGAGAAAAACAGAGUGUUCCAGGCAGGUUUGUCCGGAAUGCAUUAGCAUGGAAUAAUAGAAUAUGACUGAAGUCGAUUUAUUGGUUUGAGGCUUUAGUAAUGAUUAAUAGGAACAGUCGGGGGCAUUGGUACUUGACAGUCAGAGGUGAAAUUCUAGGAUUUGUCAAAGACUAACAAAUGCGAAAGCAUUUGCCAAGGAUGUUUUCAUUAAUCAAGAACGAAAGUUAGGGGAUCAAAGACGAUCAGAUACCGUCCUAGUCUUAACUAUAAACUAUACCGACUCGGAUUCAGAUGAAUC